UCGAGACUCAGUCAGUCUUUCGUCGUCUUUCGAACCAUAUCUCGUGAUAGAUAUAAUGCUUGUAAUAAAGUGUAUGUGAAUAUAUUAUAUGCUUUCAACAUUGCGUAGUGCUAGAGUAUUAAUUUGAACAGAAUAAGUUAUCACCAGGAAAUUACACUUUAAAAAUAAAAUAUUUUGGCUUUGCUGACAAUGUCUUCAGAAUUUUCGACAUGGAAGAAAAAACUACGGUUAAAAGCAACCUUUACCAUUUCUAUAAGAUGUAAGCGAUGCACGGCUUUGUCAAGUAUGCCAUUGCAAAAAACGGACAUGAGUGAGCACAAUAUGUUAUGGUUACACUUCGAUACCUCACCUAUAACGUGGACUGAUCACGCAACAAUGAUUGUGUCUAAUUACUUAUUCCGUGAUUAUAAAACUCGAAACAUUAAAAUGUGGUGCAGAUUUAAUACUAAAUAUCACAUGGAAUUUGCAAAAUAUGUAGCUGAAAAGAUCACGUCGUUUUUUAAAAAUGAAUGGAAACAUUCGGACUAUACUUCGAUAGUGUCUCAUAUUGCAAUUCCAAAUUUCCAUGACAGAAGCACAUAUUUCGGACUUGUUCUUUAUAGGGAAACAGAUAUCGUCUACGUUAAAAAUAUAUAUCCUAUUGCUCGCAAGAUUGAAGUAGCUCAAUUAGUAGGACGUAAAGUAACACAGCAAUGGUUUAAUAACAUAAUGAACAAUGCGUUAGUGUCGGAUUUUUGGUUUAAAAAUGGUCUUAUUACAUUGCUUGCAAUGCAUGUUAUCAAUAAGGCAUAUCCAAAUUAUCGAAUAAUAAAUUUAUUUGUUGUUCAAAAUCAACAUUAUUCUUUUAAUUUGGAUAGUGAUUAUCAUAUGUGGAAUUUUACUUCACAAGUUAACAGUUCAUUGGAAAUCCCCAAGUCUAUCAGAGCACCCUUUAUACUGCGCAUGAUGCAACACGUUUUCACCGAAGAAAUAUUUUGGAAAGGCAUUCGCUCAUAUGUAAAUACCAUCCAAUUUCAUCGUGAUAGUUUUGUGCAUUUUUGGAGAGAAGUUGUUGAUGCUGCAGAAAAAACAAAUAUUUCUCUAAAAACAAUGAAUUAUUGGGAUAUGGAAAAGCAUUGUCCUAUCAUAAAAGUAAUACGAAAUUAUAAUACAAACGAAGUAAAUGUAUCGAUACAAAAUAUCGACACAUUAAGGAUUGACUGCCUUCCUGUAACUUUUUCUACGGAAGCGUCGGCCAAUUUUAACAAUUUUACUCAUCAUAUGGUAUGCGUGUCAAAGGAUUUAAAAUUAUCAUUACCAUAUAAAGAAUUUGAAUAUAAUUGGAUAAUAUUCAAUAUACAACAAAUUGGAUAUUAUCGCGUGAACUAUAAUGAUGAAAACUGGCGAAGAAUUUCAAAAUAUCUAUGCUAUGUUGAUUACACGAAAAUACAUGUUCUUAAUCGUGCCCAAAUUAUAGAUGAUGCAUUUCAUUUUAUGAUAGCAGGCCAACUCCAUUCAACUAUAUUUUUUCAUCUCAUAUCAUAUUUGCAUCUAGAAGAAGAUUAUAUAGCUUGGUAUCCUAUGUUUAAAGCUCUGGAAUACAUGUAUAGUAGUUUUCCCGCAGCCAUGCUGGAAAGUGGUGUUUGGAACUUUAAGAAAUUUAUAAGCAGCAAAUUAUACAAUGUACUUGAACGAAUCACAUACGAAGAAAAUGAUGAUAAUGACGAACUUAGAAAAUGUUUACGGCAAGAAGCUGCAAGAUGGGCAUGUUUUCUCGGUAACUACUAUUGUAAGAAAGAAGCCAACAAUAAAUUAAAACAACAUAUUGAAGAUCCUAAAACACACGGACUUUUGCCAUGGUGGAAGGAAUGGACAUAUUGUAACGGUUUGAUGACAACUACCAAAAAAGAGACCACUUGGCAAUCAGUGUAUAAUAUAGGAUUCAAAAAAUCUGACACUAAAUUUUUAGAAUACCUGGCUUGCUCUGAAGAUACUAAUAUCAUCAUCAACUAUUUAAACCAUACAAUAUACUAUGAACAGUACAAUUUUACAGAGAAUGAAUAUCAAUAUCUUUUCAACAGUUUUUUACAUAUUUUUGCAAAGCAUACAAAAAAUCCAAUUAUACUAGAGUACAUAUUACAUCAUCUUGACGAAAUAAAACCAAAAAAUGUUAAUAUAAUUGCAGUAUUAAUUAUUAUUAUCAAUAACGUAUAUUCCAAAAAUCGAACUGAGCAAAUAUUAAGAAACAUUAGAGAUAUUAUAGAAUAUUACUUAAUUGAAUUGCAUAUCAAAGAUAAAUAUUUUCGUAGAAGGAAGUAUUACUAUCAAAUAAAGGAGCUAACCAUUUCUGCGGUGGCAAAUGUAAGCAACAACUUUUGUUUUGUAAAAUGGCCGCAGAUAAGAAACAUAUUUUGUCAUUACAAACACUGUGAGCAUAAAUUCAAUAAAUAUUUCCCAACAUCUGUUAGCAGACUAUAUUGACAAAGUGGCAAUGAGUAGCAAGCAGAUCUGUCGAAAGUGUUGACAACAGAUUGAUGCCAAAAAUGCAGCAGAUCCUUCAGAUCUAGGAUUUUUCUUCGAUUUGUUAAGCAUUUGGCGCAAUAAUCUGUCCUCAAUUUACGAUUGACAAAUCUGUUCCCAGUCUGUUGCCAAUCUGUCGUCGCACUGUUAGUGACAGAUCUGCUCUGGCGUUGCACCCAACUUGAUGUUAGGAUAUACUUUCAACUUUUGAUUGCAAUAAUUGGAGCGCACUCGAGGACACAGUAGGCCCUGGAUUUGCAGCCAUAUUUGGUCGUAUUUUGUUUCCCGAUUGUUAACAAUUUCCAAGCAAAUGAUGAGUAACUUUACGAUAGAUAAGGAUUACUUGAAAUUAUAUUACCAAAUUAUAGAAC